rnacentral:misc_RNA from 1 species
GAUGAAGAACGCAGCGAAUUGCGAUAAGUAAUGUGAAUUGCAGAUUUUCAGUGAAUCAUCGAAUCUUUGAACGCACAUUGCGCCCCUUGGUAUUCCAUGGGGCAUGCCUGUUCGAGCGUCAUUUGUACCUUCAAGCUUUGCUUGGUGUUGGGUGUUUGUCUCGCCUUUGCGUGUAGACUCGCCUUAAAAUAAUUGGCAGCCGGUGUAUUGAUUUCGGAGCGCAGUACAUCUCGCGCUUUGCACUCAUAACGACAGCGUCCAAAAGUACAUUUUACACUCUUGACCUCGGAUCAGGUAGGGAUACCCGCUGAACUUAAGCAUAUCAAUAAGCGGAGGA